rnacentral:rRNA from 1 species
GACGAACGCUGGCGGCGUGCUUAACACAUGCAAGUCGAACGGAAAGGCCCCCUUGUGGGGUACUCGAGUGGCGAACGGGUGAGUAACACGUGAGUAACCUACCCUUGACUUUGGGAUAACUUCAGGAAACUGGGGCUAAUACCGGAUAGGAGCUCCUGCUGCAUGGUGGGGGUUGGAAAGUUUCGGCGGUGGGGGAUGGGCUCGCGGCUUAUCAGCUUGUUGGUGGGGUAGUGGCUCACCAAGGCUUUGACGGGUAGCCGGCCUGAGAGGGUGACCGGCCACAUUGGGACUGAGAUACGGCCCAGACUCCUACGGUAGGCAGCAGUGGGGAAUAUUGCACAAUGGGCGGAAGCCUGAUGCAGCAACGCCGCGUGCGGGAUGACGGCCUUCGGGUUGUAAACCGCUUUCGCCUGUGACGAAGCGUGAGUGACGGUAAUGGGUAAAGAAGCACCGGCUAACUACGUG